GUUUAUGAUCACAUCCAUGCAGAUCCUAUUAUUAAACCCAUGGAACAGAUGCAUUUUUGUUGAUUACUUUGCACCAGCUGUCCGCACUUUCUUUGAUUUUUUUUUUAAAUUUGGUCACAUUAAUUAGGUUAGUGCCCUGUGAUGGACUGGCACCCCGUCCAGGAUGUCCCCCUGGGAUAGGCUCCAGGUAGUAAGGAUAAGCGGUACAGAAAAUGGAUGUAUGGAUGUAUGGAUUAAUAAGGAUCUGUGCGAUGAUACAGUAGAACAACAUGAUCUCAGGCUGUAUCUGUGGCCUGCUUUAUGAAAUUCAGAGGAAUGCUUACAACCAGGUAUGAAUGACUACAAAUGGCAUGCACUGGAACUGAACGCAAGGAUUUGGAGGGAGAAAUUCUAAUUGAGCACAGCACAACCCAAGGCUUCCUGUCGUCACUGCAAGAGAGUCCUAAAUUAGGCAUGAUGCUCUUGGUGCAAUGAAAGGGAGUGAGAGAUGGAG
ensembl:lncRNA